CCCGCACCACCCCGAAAUUCUCGAUUUCUGACUUGCCGAUAAGUUCUUACUUGUUUUGGUGAAGUAUAAUCGGUUCAAGUUUGUGGCCGUCCAUGUUGAAGUACCCGCUUCCAUACGAUGUAUAAAUUAAAUUUUGUUGGACUUUUGUUGGAUGUAUCGGACAUUAAAAUUUUUAUUUGGUGUUA